CUUUCUUCAGAACUCACGGAUGCGUUAAUAGAGCCUAACCAAAGGGAUCCCAGGAUUCUAGCCAUAUCUGCCACAUCUUCCUGGAGCUGGAAAAGUCAGAAUGUGCCUUUGACUUGCUCUCCUUUUUAAAGAAAACCACGUGUUUAUUCUCUUAUGCCAAAGUUACGACAGAGCUGAAGUUUUGCCAGUGUUGACUUUAAAAGCUGGGCUGAGGGGUUAAAAUCCUUUUCCCUGAUGCCUGUUUGUUUAUAUUUCCCGAGAAAAUGAAGGCGGUUGUCGUAAGAAGCGAUCUGGUCUACGGAGCUGUACCUGCAGCAAGGGCAGUGCUGCAGGGUGCCAGAAGAACCUCUGCUAUCAGCACCUGGAGUCAGAACAGCUCCCUGAAAGUCACCCUUAUCCCAGGAUGAGGGUGAAGAUCUGGAGAUGGCGCUCCCCUACUGCCUGCUCAGCCUCGCUCUGGGUAACCAACUCACUGCCCAGGCCAUGAACCUGCAGGAUGCUGCAGCUAAACUAUGCAUGAAACUUUGGUUGCAUUCUAGUGGUACCCAGUUCCAGCCACAACAGAAACUGACUAGAUAAAUAGGGAAUACUUAGCAGAAGUUAAAAUGAUGUAAUAAAGUAAGAUUUAUUAUCAUGGAAA